rnacentral:rRNA from 1 species
GAGAGUUUGAUCCUGGCUCAGGAUGAACGCUAGCUACAGGCUUAACACAUGCAAGUCGAGGGGCAGCAUGGUCUUAGCUUGCUAAGGCCGAUGGCGACCGGCGCACGGGUGAGUAACACGUAUCCAACCUGCCGUCUACUCUUGGACAGCCUUCUGAAAGGAAGAUUAAUACAAGAUGGCAUCAUGAGUCCGCAUGUUCACAUGAUUAAAGGUAUUCCGGUAGACGAUGGGGAUGCGUUCCAUUAGAUAGUAGGCGGGGUAACGGCCCACCUAGUCUUCGAUGGAUAGGGGUUCUGAGAGGAAGGUCCCCCACAUUGGAACUGAGACACGGUCCAAACUCCUACGGGAGGCAGCAGUGAGGAAUAUUGGUCAAUGGGCGAGAGCCUGAACCAGCCAAGUAGCGUGAAGGAUGACUGCCCUAUGGGUUGUAAACUUCUUUUAUAAAGGAAUAAAGUCGGGUAUGGAUACCCGUUUGCAUGUACUUUAUGAAUAAGGAUCGGCUAACUCCGUGCCAGCAGCCGCGGUAAUACGGAGGAUCCGAGCGUUAUCCGGAUUUAUUGGGUUUAAAGGGAGCGUAGAUGGAUGUUUAAGUCAGUUGUGAAAGUUUGCGGCUCAACCGUAAAAUUGCAGUUGAUACUGGAUAUCUUGAGUGCAGUUGAGGCAGGCGGAAUUCGUGGUGUAGCGGUGAAAUGCUUAGAUAUCACGAAGAACUCCAAUUGCGAAGGCAGCCUGCUAAGCUGCAACUGACAUUGAGGCUCGAAAGUGUGGGUAUCAAACAGGAUUAGAUACCCUGGUAGUCCACACGGUAAACGAUGAAUACUCGCUGUUUGCGAUAUACUGCAAGCGGCCAAGCGAAAGCGUUAAGUAUUCCACCUGGGGAGUACGCCGGCAACGGUGAAACUCAAAGGAAUUGACGGGGGCCCGCACAAGCGGAGGAACAUGUGGUUUAAUUCGAUGAUACGCGAGGAACCUUACCCGGGCUUAAAUUGCAGAUGAAUUACGGUGAAAGCCGUAAGCCGCAAGGCAUCUGUGAAGGUGCUGCAUGGUUGUCGUCAGCUCGUGCCGUGAGGUGUCGGCUUAAGUGCCAUAACGAGCGUAACCCUUGUUGUCAGUUACUAACAGGUUCUGCUGAGGACUCUGACAAGACUGCCAUCGUAAGAUGUGAGGAAGGUGGGGAUGACGUCAAAUCAGCACGGCCCUUACGUCCGGGGCUACACACGUGUUACAAUGGGGGGUACAGAGGGCCGCUACCACGCGAGUGGAUGCCAAUCCCAAAAACCUCUCUCAGUUCGGACUGGAGUCUGCAACCCGACUCCACGAAGCUGGAUUCGCUAGUAAUCGCGCAUCAGCCACGGCGCGGUGAAUACGUUCCCGGGCCUUGUACACACCGCCCGUCAAGCCAUGGGAGCCGGGGGUACCUGAAGUGCGUAACCGCGAGGAGCGCCCUAGGGUAAAACUGGUGACUGGGGCUAAGUCGUAACAAGGUAGCCG